UCCAUUAGCUAUAUUAGGAAUACCCUAACAGCACCAGAUGCUGACUGAUCUUGGAAGCUAAGUGGGAUUGGCCCAGGUACUACUUGGAUGGGAGACUGUCAGUGAAGACCUAGUGCAGGAGGUC
rnacentral:rRNA from 11 species